rnacentral:rRNA from 1 species
AGAGUUUGAUCAUGGCUCAGAUUGAACGCUGGCGGCAGGCCUAACACAUGCAAGUCGAGCGGUAGCACAGAGAGCUUGCUCUCGGGUGACGAGCGGCGGACGGGUGAGUAAUGUCUGGGAAACUGCCUGAUGGAGGGGGAUAACUACUGGAAACGGUAGCUAAUACCGCAUAAUGUCGCAAGACCAAAGUGGGGGACCUUCGGGCCUCAUGCCAUCAGAUGUGCCCAGAUGGGAUUAGCUAGUAGGUGGGGUAACGGCUCACCUAGGCGACGAUCCCUAGCUGGUCUGAGAGGAUGACCAGCCACACUGGAACUGAGACACGGUCCAGACUCCUACGGGAGGCAGCAGUGGGGAAUAUUGCACAAUGGGCGCAAGCCUGAUGCAGCCAUGCCGCGUGUGUGAAGAAGGCCUUCGGGUUGUAAAGCACUUUCAGCGGGGAGGAAGGCGNGAAGCACCGGCUAACUCCGUGCCAGCAGCCGCGGUAAUACGGAGGGUGCAAGCGUUAAUCGGAAUUACUGGGCGUAAAGCGCACGCAGGCGGUCUGUCAAGUCGGAUGUGAAAUCCCCGGGCUCAACCUGGGAACUGCAUUCGAAACUGGCAGGCUAGAGUCUUGUAGAGGGGGGUAGAAUUCCAGGUGUAGCGGUGAAAUGCGUAGAGAUCUGGAGGAAUACCGGUGGCGAAGGCGGCCCCCUGGACAAAGACUGACGCUCAGGUGCGAAAGCGUGGGGAGCAAACAGGAUUAGAUACCCUGGUAGUCCACGCCGUAAACGAUGUCGAUUUGGAGGUUGUGCCCUUGAGGCGUGGCUUCCGGAGCUAACGCGUUAAAUCGACCGCCUGGGGAGUACGGCCGCAAGGUUAAAACUCAAAUGAAUUGACGGGGGCCCGCACAAGCGGUGGAGCAUGUGGUUUAAUUCGAUGCAACGCGAAGAACCUUACCUGGUCUUGACAUCCACAGAACUUUCCAGAGAUGGAUUGGUGCCUUCGGGAACUGUGAGACAGGUGCUGCAUGGCUGUCGUCAGCUCGUGUUGUGAAAUGUUGGGUUAAGUCCCGCAACGAGCGCAACCCUUAUCCUUUGUUGCCAGCGGUNCGGCCGGGAACUCAAAGGAGACUGCCAGUGAUAAACUGGAGGAAGGUGGGGAUGACGUCAAGUCAUCAUGGCCCUUACGACCAGGGCUACACACGUGCUACAAUGGCAUAUACAAAGAGAAGCGACCUCGCGAGAGCAAGCGGACCUCAUAAAGUAUGUCGUAGUCCGGAUUGGAGUCUGCAACUCGACUCCAUGAAGUCGGAAUCGCUAGUAAUCGUAGAUCAGAAUGCUACGGUGAAUACGUUCCCGGGCCUUGUACACACCGCCCGUCACACCAUGGGAGUGGGUUGCAAAAGAAGUAGGUAGCUUAACCUUCGGGAGGGCGCUUACCACUUUGUGAUUCAUGACUGGGGUGAAGUCGUAACAAGGUAACCGUAGGGGAACCUGCGGUUG